CGCGGGAUUGGGGGACGGGGCGCAGCAUGCGCCCAAACUUUACAAUGCGGGAAACCGUGAUAAGGGGACACCGAGUGCCAGCAUCAUAUGCUGGCUGUCCAGGUGUGUAAAAUACACCUGUUAGCAAGGGCCGGGCAAGACCGGUGCCAGCCGCCGCGGUAACACCGGCGGCCCGAGUGGUGAUCGUGAUUAUUGGGUCUAAAGGGUCCGUAGCCGGUUUGGUCAGUCCUCCGGGAAAUCUGAUAGCUCAACUAUUAGGCUUUCGGGGGAUACUGCCAGACUUGGAACCGGGAGAGGUAAGAGGUACUACAGGGGUAGGAGUGAAAUCUUGUAAUCCCUGUGGGACCACCUGUGGCGAAGGCGUCUUACCAGAACGGGUUCGACGGUGAGGGACGAAAGCUGGGGGCACGAACCGGAUUAGAUACCCGGGUAGUCCCAGCCGUAAACGAUGCUCGCUAGGUGUCAGGCAUGGCGCGACCGUGUCUGGUGCCGCAGGGAAGCCGUGAAGCGAGCCACCUGGGAAGUACGGCCGCAAGGCUGAAACUUAAAGGAAUUGGCGGGGGAGCACAACAACGGGUGGAGCCUGCGGUUUAAUUGGACUCAACGCCGGACAACUCACCGGGGGCGACAGCAAUAUGUAGGCCAAGCUGAAGACUUUGCCUGAAUCGCUGAGAGGAGGUGCAUGGCCGUCGCCAGUUCGUACUGUGAAGCAUCCUGUUAAGUCAGGCAACGAGCGAGACCCGUGCCCACUGUUACCAGCAUGUCCUCCGGGACGAUGGGUACUCUGUGGGGACCGCCUAUGUUAAAUAGGAGGAAGGUGCGGGCCACGGUAGGUCAGUAUGCCCCGAAUCUCCCGGGCUACACGCGGGCUACAAUGGAUGGGACAAUGGGCCCCUCCCCCGAAAGGGGCUGGUAAUCUCACAAACCCAUUCGUAGUUCGGAUCGAGGGCUGUAACUCGCCCUCGUGAAGCUGGAAUCCGUAGUAAUCGCGUUUCAAUAUAGCGCGGUGAAUACGUCCCUGCUCCUUGCACGAAUUCGCCGAAUCACUAGU
rnacentral:rRNA from 1 species